rnacentral:rRNA from 1 species
GAUGAACGCUAGCGGCAGGCUUAAUACAUGCAAGUCGAGGGGCAGCGCAGUGUAGCAAUACAUGGGCGGCGACCGGCAAACGGGUGCGGAAGACGUACGCAACUUACCCUUAACUGAUGAAUAGCCCACCGAAAGGUGGAUUAAUACCCCAUAGUAUAUUUGAGUGGCAUCACGUAGAUAUUAAAGCUCCGGCGGUUAAAGAUGGGCGUGCGUAUGAUUAGGUAGUUGGCGGGGUAACGGCCAACCAAGCCCACGAUCAGUAGCUGAUGUGAGAGCAUGAUCAGCCACACGGGCACUGAGACACGGGCCCGACUCCUACGGGAGGCAGCAGUAAGGAAUAUAGGUCAAUGGACGCAAGUCUGAACCAGCCAUGCCGCGUGAAGGAUGAAGGUCCUCUGGAUUGUAAACUUCUUUUAUAUGGGAAGAAAUCCCGGAAUUCUUUCUGGGUUGACGGUACCAUAGGAAUAAGCACCGGCUAACUCCGUGCCAGCCGCCGCCGUAAAAC